rnacentral:lncRNA from 1 species
GAGAAUAUAAAGAAUGACAAACGUUUUGCGUAGGACAUGUAUACAAGAUUUUCUUCUCAUAGAAGCAUGCAAGAGAUGCAACAAUAUCACUGGCAGCAACAAAUCUCUUUACCAAUAGAAACGUGGGAGGACGAUCAACAACUAUGUCAACAAAUAGCUGAUGUGACGGAACAAGUCAAAAGUCUCAAUGAAAAGUUCGACAAAUUUUUGGAGAAGUACGAUUCCAAGAGCUAUGAAGUUACCUUCAGGAAUUUGGAAACACAAAUCGAUGAGGUUGUUGAUGAGGAGAAGAUAGAGAGAGAGUUGAAAAAGAUAGAAGAGAAAAAAAAAAGAAAAGGUUGUUCCUAAGGAGAAGACGGAUGAAGAAAAGAUAGAGAUAGAUGAGGAGAAAAUAUGAUACGGAUGCUCCAGCCAGGAAAAUGAAUUUAGGCAGCGGAAGAUGGAGAUCUAGCGGACAUGUGCAGUAGUAGUGAAAAAGCGGAAUGUAGAGGAGUUUGAGUUGGAGGAUUAUGUGCUGUUCAACGGUGAAACAGAGAUGAAUUCGGUGGCGUAGAUGAUGGUUUGAAGAGCUCUACGGUGGAUGGAAGCUAGCUCAGGUAGCCUUCCACUGGAAGCAAGCUAGAUGGGAAAUGGAAAGCUCAAGAGAAAGUGACUUUCGGCAUAAUUCAGUCUGCUGGAAAAUGCAUCAGCAAAGACUAAAUUCAUAAAUGAUCCAAAAGUGUAUUACAUCAGGUGUUGCCAUGAAUAUAUAAGGAAUUCANGGCCAUGUGCGUGGCUGAUAAUCAUCCUAGAUGCGUGGAUCUGUUGCCACGUGUAUCAAGCAAGGAAAGUGUAGUGUGUCUAGAAGAAAGCACGAAAUACAUGUGCUGCAUAAGAAAAAUAAAACAGCUGCAGCAUAUGGGAAUAAGGAUGACAUGUACUUUCAUGUUGCCACCCCUUCCUUACUAGGCUCACCCCUUCCUUUGUGGAAAUGACUCUUUUACCCUUCUCCUUGGGUUGGGUUGUUGGUCUUUAUUUAUUGGGCUUGGGCCCUGUGUAUCAAAAUAGAGGAGAAAAAAAUGAAGAGAAAGGAGGAGAAGAUAGAGGAAGAAGAAACAAAAAGGUUGAGUGAGGAAGAGAAAGAUAAGGAGAAAGACAAAGAAGUGGUUGAGAGAAAAGAAAAAAAGAGAAAAAUUGUGAAAAUAAAGAAAGAAAGAAAAACGAAAAAGAGAAAGAUGAGGGAGGAGAAAAGUGAGCAAAAGAGGAAGAGAGGAAAGAAGAAAAUAUCAUAUGAAAAACCCCUUCGUCAUUCAAAAAAUAUCAUAGGAAGGAAAAGAAGGUCAAGUGCUUUAUAGAGAUCUUCAAGAAAUUGGAGAUUAAAGUUCCUAUGAUUCAGACAUGGAAACCGGUGCUUGGUGUUCCAACUUUAUGAAGAAAUUCAAUAGAAAGAAGAAAAAGAAAAGAAUAUCAAGCAAGGGGAGUAUCAACACCUACUGAUGGGUGUUUGAACUCUACCGGGUCAACCUAGUGACAUAAAAAGAGCGCUUACUGGGAGGCACCCUAGUGAUCCAAGAACAAAAUUUUUGUAAUUUCAUUUUUAAAUCUUGGUGAUGUAAUUAUGAAUAAUUUUUAAAUUUUUGUGUAUUAGGUAGCAU